UUGUGAUCACUGAUUUCAUGCAGAAAAGCAAAAAGUAAAAACAAAGGAAAAACAAAUGUUAAACAAUGCAUUAAUUGAAUGAAAACAUCAUUGUAUUAAAUGCUGCCAACAAUGUCAUCACUUCUCCUUUUGGCAUGGGAGAAGGGUUUUAAACAAAGUGAACAAUUACUCUGAUCUAUGGAUGACUGUAGGAACAUCUACAGCGACCCAAUUGUGGCAGACACCACCAGGAAUA
rnacentral:lncRNA from 1 species